GCCGAAGUGGCGGAAUUGGUAGACGCAGCGGCCUUAAAAGCCGCUGGGCUGCAUACAGCCCGUGCGGGUUCGAGUCCCGCCUUCGGCACCA
rnacentral:tRNA from 1 species